rnacentral:rRNA from 1 species
UACGUAGGGGGCUAGCGUUGUCCGGAAUCAUUGGGCGUAAAGCGCGUGUAGGCGGCCCGGUAAGUCCGCUGUGAAAGUCGGGGGCUCAACCCUCGGAUGCCGGUGGAUACUGUCGGGCUCGAGUACGGAAGAGGCGAGUGGAAUUCCUGGUGUAGCGGUGAAAUGCGCAGAUAUCAGGAAGAACACCCGUGGCGAAGGCGGCUCUCUGGGACGGUACUGACGCUGAGACGCGAAAGCGUGGGAGCGAACAGG